AUAUACGCAGGCAAGCCGCAAGUGACCGCAUCUUUCCGGAUUUCUCUCCUCCCCAUUCCGGUGGUGACGGUGGCAGCGGAAUCCCUCAGCGUGGUCAUCCCUCUCCUAGUGGCGGCGAGCCCUCUCCUAUCCAGAGGCGGCGGCGUCCCCCUCGGCUCGCACGGUAGGCCCCCUGGCGGCACUCCUAUCCAGAGGCGGCGGCGGCCCCCUCGGCUCGCACGGUCGGCCCCCUGGCGGCGGUAGCCAUCCUGGCGGUGCUUGUCCCCGCACACGGCGGCCCCCGAAGGCUGGGGAGACGACGACGCAGCCAUGGCGUUGGCGCCUUCUUCAGACCCGCAGAGGUAGGAAAAUUCAUUUUUACUCCCGGUAUUAUUUACUCCUACCAGGUAGUCGCACGGCGUCGCUGCUAACGGCCGUUCCUCCGUCGACGACUGUCUCCACAACCCACCGCACGCUGCGGCCCCUCACUCCGACAGCGGCCGGAACGGCGGCGAGCCCCCUCCCCACCCCUGACACGGCAGAUCUAGAUCAUUCGGACGGUGACCUUGGGCUAUUGAUGGAUAACGACGUGUGGAUCUCCUCUCCGGCCGCGCUGACAUGAACCAGGAAUAAACUCUCGUUUGCAAGCUGCUCCUCUCCUUACAUUUUCCAAAUCAAAGAGGAAUUCAUUAUCUGUGACACUACCAGGAAAAGAUCAUACUAUUUUUCUUGUUUUUUUAGAUGAUGAUAGUAUCAGGCGAUACUCUUUUCUUCGGAUUAGAAGUCUGCAUACCAAUAGUAUGAUCUUAUUUUAAUUUUUCUGGUAUGUACAUAUACUCGAUUGCAAAUUCAUGUGUACGUACUCCCACAUGCUGUAUGAUGUAUAUAAAUUAAUUAUCCAUGUAAAAAUAAAAAAAUUGGUGUACAUAUAUAUACUAUCUUCUAAGUGUC